GGUGAGCAACACACAGAGAGGUGACUGCCAUUUCAACACAAAACACUAACAACAGGCCUCAUUCACGAGUGCAUAUGCAGAAAUGUUCUUAACCUCCGCACAAAAUUAGUGUUUGAUUUGUGCACUGAAUUAUUCUAACCCGUCAGGUUUGUGCACGCUACCUGCAGUCGGCACAACUGAAGUAGAAAGGGUUUGUGUCACAGGAGGAAACCACCGUAAUAAUCACACAGUAAUAGACUCUUUGCUUCAGAAAAAUCAAAUGUUUUCCUUAAAAUGACAAAACUUACUUCAAGAGAAAAAUACUCAUCAGUGAGGGUAGCUAUAGCCAGUUUGUUCUGACAGGUGGAAACAAAGUCAGCACCUGGAGAGGCAACUUGCCUGAGGUACAGUUAUAGCAGCUCUGUGCUCACGUCAAACCCUCAAUUCCUUACUGUUCGUUAUUCAAUUCUGAGAAACUUUUUGCUUAUCUUAUUUUGGGCACCUCUGACUAAUGACCAAAAUGAAAUGAGUAGUAAUAAUAAUAAUUCAUAUUAGUAGUGGUCUUCUUCUUUUGGUUGCUCCCUUUAGGGAUUGUCACACUGUAUAAUACACACACCAACUGUCACACAAACCCUCUGCAUGUCCUCCAUCAUUACAUCUAUCAAUCUUCUCUGUAGCCGUCCUCUUUUUCUUCCUGCCUGGCAACUCCAUACUUUACAUCCUUUAUCCAGUGUAUUUGCCAUCUUUCCUCUGCACAUUCAAACCAUCUCAGGCUUCUUCUUCCUUGUCUUCAAACCACUUAACUUGAGCCGUCCCUCUGAUGUACUCAUUUCUAAUCUUGUCCACCAUGGCCACUCCCAUCUUAAAGUAAUGCCACCUCCUGCUCAGCCUUCAAUUUUGUUAGUUAGUGCCACUGUCUCCAAACCAUACAUCAAAGCUAUCAUCUUGUAAACCUUCCGGUCCCUGUGGCUAAAAAAUGAUAUAUAAAAAAUGAUCCCUGACACUGCACCCUGUCUGCACUCUCUUCUCCAGCUCUCUUGUGCACUGUCCAUUCCUUAGGAUGGCUGAGCCCAGGUAUUUAAACUCAUCCACCUUCACAAUCUCGGCUCCUUGUAGUUUCACUCUUACACCUGUGUUCUGUCUUCUACUGACUUUCACUCCUCUUUUCUCCAGAGCAUACCUCCACCUCUCCAGACUAUCGUCCAUCUGCUUUCUACUCUCAGUAAAGAUUACAAUGCCGUCGACAAACAUCACAUCCCACGAAACUCCUACCUGACCUCGGCCUGGACAAAUGGUUUGCAACAACAGGCCAGAAUCUGCAGGUAAAUGAGCCUGCACAUCCUGCUCCAGCACCAAGUGCUUCUUUUCAUUGAGCCAAUGAGAAUAUUGAGUAAAGGUUUUAACCUAAGAGCGGGGCUUGUCCAGGACUGGUAUCCGAUACCUCUCGCAACUGAAUGAAUCAUU